rnacentral:rRNA from 1 species
AUUGAACGCUGGCGGCGUGCUUAACACAUGCAAGUCGAACGAAGUGGCGAACGGGUGAGUAACGCGUAAUCAACCUGCCCUUCAGAGGGGGACAACAGUUGGAAACGACUGCUAAUACCGCAUACUGAAGGAGGGGAUUGCGUCUGAUUAGCUAGUUGGAGGGGUAACGGCCCACCAAGGCGAUGAUCAGUAGCCGGGCCGAGAGGAUGAACGGCCACAUUGGGACUGAGACAAGGCCCAGACUCCUACGGGAGGCAGCAGGGGGGAAUCUUCCGCAAUGGACGAAAGUCUGACGGAGCAACGCCGCGGGAGUGAUGACGGCCUUCGGGUUGUAAAGCUCUGUUAAGCGGGACGCGGUACCGGAAUAGAAAGCCACGGCUAACUUCGUGCCAGCAGCCGCGGUAAUUC